rnacentral:lncRNA from 1 species
GGCACUCUCUGACGCAUUUGGGGUUGUAUCUGGAAGAUUAUCAUUCAGUGCAGUUCCCACCUCUCAUCCAGGAAGGUUGGAGCGAGGACUUCUGUGUCCCAUCUCCCCCAGUGCUCAGCUAUCAAAGCCCUCCCAAGUUUUCCAACAAUUUCAAAAAGUGUCCCAGGGCCAGUGGUAUGCUGGUAACCCAGCUUUCUAGAAGGGUGGGGAGAGUCCUGAUUUCUAGUGUUUGCUGAUUUUUAUGGUAUAAAUAAAUACUCCCACCACGGGAGUGGUGAUUUAAUUUCAAGCUCCUGAUGAUUUAACAACUGACUCACACUGUUUCUGAAACGUUAACAAUUGGCUUCAGCACACCACUGGAUUUGGGGGCACUGAGGGGAUUCUGAGACGUGCAGGUGGCAGAACCGGCCAGGAGAAGUCCUGGAGCUCCUCCCCAUGAUGGGGCAUGGGGCAUGAGAGAGGCACAGCAACUUCCUUUUCUUUGUGUACAGAAACAAGUGGCCGCCUCUCAUCUUUGUGUCUUUGUCAUCACGAUAAUUGUGAAGGAGCCUGGCUCACCCUCUUCAGGGAGGGUCCUCAAAUCUGGUGGCUUGUUUGUGCCAUUAUGUGGGAGGGAAAGGCUGUGUUGCCAAACAAGUUUUGGAUACUCUGAGUUGAACUGAAUUCAUUCUGUUUCUCACUCAAGGGCUUUUGGAGCUUUUACUAGUCUAGUAUGCUCUAUAUCAUAUACACUGAUUUUCCAGUUGCAUUUGAUUAUUGAAUCCUUUUGUUCAUGAGUGCCUGGCAGUGCUCUUUGGGGAAGUCCACACUAGCCUCAAACAGUCACGAAUCUGUGCCUAGAACACCUGCAGAUGGGUUUUGCAAACAGUAUACAAAGGCAUCAACUCUGUAAGAUAGUGGGAACUCGGAACUAGAAAAACAAAGUUUGGAUGUGGUUUGGACCUUGGCUGGCUACCAACCCAGUGACCUCUGUCGGCUCCUCUGGGCAUUUCAUCUUGCUCUGUAAUAUGGGAAAUGUGCUGCUGACUUGCUGUGAUUGUCAUGAUGAGCCAAUGACUUAUGAGAGCACUUUGGAAAACAAAUAAUUCUGCAACUAUGAAGAGUUUAUGUUUUUCCUUCUAGAACUGUGGGUGGAGGAAGGGGUUUAAAUCUGAACUAGCUUGUGACUAUCCUGAGCAAGGCAGGGUUUUCGCAGCCACUGGGUGGGAGUAGGGGGGUGAGAGGGUAGUUACCCUGGCAACCAGCUGGUGGCCCAGUGACCGGGGCCCCUCCCACGGAGCUCAGGUGGACAGGCAUCCUUAGAGGCAGCCCUGCCUAUGGCCCUGGAAGGGGCUUCCUCAAGGGAGACCCAAGCAGCAGCUUCGUGGGCAGUGCUGGAGCCACCUCUGUUACUCCACACACUUCCCUGGCCAAACACCAUAAACACACAAAGGGACAGAGCUGGGAGGUUUGAGCCAUCAGGAAGGGGAGAGGAGCAGUGGGCAUGAAAGAGAAAGAACUGGCAUCUCCCCCUCACCCCCCAAGGCUAGAGCGUUGUCAUUUUCUGAACUUAGGCCUCCCCAGCGGUCUCAGGGGUGAAACACUCAAGAGAGAAGUAUUGCCCUGAAGGUCACAUUCACAGCCACCCCAGGCACACAGGGCUUCCUGUUAGGAGCUCUGCUCGGCGGUCCUGAGGCCGGAGUGCAAAAGCAGUUAGGGUGGGAUGACUUCAGAAUUGAGAGGACUUGGGACCAUGAGGCUGCCUCUCUUCCAAGCCUGAAGACCCCCGACUCCUGCACUCCCCUUACCCCCAUACUCAGAAGGGACCUCUCACAGGAGCUCUGUACAACGAACAUGAAUUUAGCCUCAGCAGCCCAGCUUAGAAGUAGAACAGGUGGCAGGUGACAGGUGGCAGCUGUCCGGCAAGGCUGCUAAGCCACAGAGCUUACCAGUGCCACCUGCCCGGGUGCGGCCCUCGGCCUUCCCGCUCAGGCCGGAGGAGGCGCGGGUUUCCGUCACAUUUGCACUGCUUCCCUCGUGAGUGUUCAGCAGGAAGCGGCAGCGAUAUCCACUUGGCCCUGCCCACCUUCCCCAAAAUUCCACCAGCCACAGAGACGGUGUCAACCAAAUUCAUUUAGGUCUCAGAUUCUAGACCUCGACCAGAGGAAGUGAAGGCUCUGAUCAAACCCAGAGUACUUCCUUUGUGUUGGUGUUCACCACUGCUAAGUGGGUCUCAAACAGUUGAGUGCAUUCGAAUUGGCAGACGAGCUUGUUAAAAUGCAGCUGCCUAGGCACUACCCCACCCGCAGAACUUCCACCUCGGUCGGUCUGGGGAGAACACGGCAUUCUGGCUUAACAAGCAUCCAGAGGGGUUGAGCAGAUUGAAGGAAGACCAUAGAGCUGGGAUGCCUCGGUCGUUCUUAACAUCACUCAUUUGUGGAGCAAUUUUCAAGCGAAAAGCACUUUUAAAACUCUUGAAACUCAACACCACUUUGUGAAAUAGACAUAAUCCUCAUUUUAUAGAUGGGGAAAGCAGAGCCCAGAGAAGUUGAAUGAUGCCAUCUCUUAGCUAAUGGGUAAGAGAGAUGAGUCCAGGCCCAGCCUGGAGGACCUAACGUGACCCCAGCUGGCUUUUGAGGAAACCAAAGCGUGUUGGAGCCUGGAAGCCUUUGGUCAGUCCCAUCAUUCCACCUCUAGGGAUCCCCUGUGACCUCCUGAACCAGAGCAGACUCCCUGGAGCCGUCCCAGGCCACAGCCCAGGUGUGAUGCUGGGCUGCAAGUGACAGCCAGGCCUAUGGUGCACUGCCCACAUUUGGGGCUGCAGCCCCUUCCUCUCCAACAUUUCCCACCUCUAUUUUUAACAGAAGCCAGUGCCCCUGCCAUCUCCUUAUCACUCACAGUCCCACUCUGCUGUCAUUGUCCCGCCCUAGAGAUGCUUUUGCUCCCAUUCAAAAUAAUUUAAAUAAAAUGUUGCUACAAAGCGGAA